CUCCUAUACUUUGUUCCGUUUUUCAUUUUCCAUAUAAGGUUUGAGAAAUCACGGUUUCCUCCAUGGUCAACAGGACAAAUCAAAUUAGAAGAAACCUCGUAUUUAAUAAAUAUAAAUCUGCACAAUUUUCUCACCAACCUCAUUUCUCUCUUCCAAACAUGAUUUCUCUCUACAGUUUAUUUCUCUCUAAAAACACUAGGACGGGUGAUAAUCAAAUCAUGAAGGCUUUGUCCAUACUGAGCAAGAAGGAGAAGAAGGCCUGCUCAACCUUUUGGAUCGGUGGGAUGCUCUAGCUUUAAGAGGGAGGAGCAGAUAGUCCAUCGUCGAUCGAGACUUUAUAAACUUUUCGGUAAGAAGGAUGUGGUGAUAUAUCAGUAAAGGAGGGAGUUAAGGUAGUGGUAUCCGCCUUUGCAGCUGGCUGUCAUCGAUAGUCGGUCAUCGAUUGAGAUGGUAGAUAGCAUUUAUGCUUUUGAUGACAGGAUUGCCAAUGGUCAAAAUCACAAGGGCAUCGAACCACCUUCUCCUUGGCAUGAACCGGUCUCCCUUGGCUCUUCCAUAGGCUUGGAGUUGGUUGAAUCUGGUUUUUGUUGAAUGCUCCAAUAGAUGAAUUUCGUGGAACAAAUUUGUACUUGUAGAGGUUUCUUGGUUCUUCUAAUAUUUCCCUCUCUAGUAAGGUUUAUGCUCCAGAUUCCUCUGUGUAAUUACAUGCUAGAUUUCAUAAUACAAGCAAUUGUUUGUUCAAAUUUGAUCACAAUUUCUAUUUCUGGUGUAUACAAAUUGUGUUGAGUUGUUCUAUGGUAGUUUUGGCUCAAAUAUUGAUGUU